rnacentral:rRNA from 1 species
AGCGAACGCUGGCGGCAGGCCUAACGCAUGCAAGUCGAACGAACCCUUCGGGGUUAGUGGCGGACGGGUGAGUAACACGUGGGAACGUGCCUUUAGGUUCGGAAUAACUCAGGGAAACUUGUGCUAAUACCGAAUGUGCCCUUCGGGGGAAAGAUUUAUCGCCUUUAGAGCGGCCCGCGUCUGACUAGCUAGUUGGUGAGGUAAUGGCUCACCAAGGCUACGAUCAGUAGCUGGUCUGAGAGGAUGACCAGCCACAUUGGGACUGAGACACGGCCCAAACUCCUACGGGAGGCAGCAGUGGGGAAUCUUGCGCAAUGGGCGAAAGCCUGACGCAGCCAUGCCGCGUGGAUGAUGAAGGUCUUAGGAUUGUAAAAUCCUUUCACCGGUGAAGAUAAUGACUGUAGCCGGAGAAGAAGCCCCGGCUAACUUCGUGCCAGCAGCCGCCGUAAUAC